rnacentral:rRNA from 1 species
GACGAACGCUGGCGGCGUGCUUAACACAUGCAAGUCGAACGGAGUGGCGAACGGGUGAGUAACACGUGGGUGACCUGCCCUGCACUUCGGGAUAAGCCUGGGAAACUGGGUCUAAUACCGGAUAGUGUGGGAUGGGCCCGCGGCCUAUCAGCUUGUUGGUGGGGUAAUGGCCUACCAAGGCGGCGCCGGGUAGCCGGCCUGAGAGGGUGGACGGCCACAUGGGGACUGAGACACGGACCAGACGGCAACGGGAGGCAGCAGUGGGAAAUAUUGCACAAGGGGCGGGCGUCUGAUGCAGCGGCGCCGCGUGGGGAAUGACGGCCUUCGGGUUGUAAACACCUUUCACCAUCGACGCGGUAGAUGGAGAAGAAGCACCGGCUAACUACGUGCCAGCAGCCGCGGUAAUUC